GACGUAGGGGGCGAGCGUUGUCCGGAAUUACUGGGCGUAAAGAGCACGUAGGCGGGAACCUAAGUCAGGUGUGAAAGACAGUGGCUCAACCACGGGGUGGCAUUUGAAACUGGGUUUCUUGAGGGCAGGAGAGGAAAGCAGAAUUCCUGGUGUAGCGGUGAAAUGCGUAGAAAUCAGGAGGAAUACCAGUGGCGAAGGCGGCUUUCUGGACUGACCCUGACGCUGAGGUGCGAAAGCGUGGGUAGCAAACAGGAUUAGAUACCCUGGUAGUCCCUGA
rnacentral:rRNA from 1 species